CGCACAAGCGGCGGAGCAUGUGGAUUAAUUCGAUGCAACGCGAAGAACCUUACCUGGGUUUGACAUAUACCGGAAAGCCGUAGAGAUACGGCCCCCCUUGUGGUCGGUAUACAGGUGGUGCAUGGCUGUCGUCAGCUCGUGUCGUGAGAUGUUGGGUUAAGUCCCGCAACGAGCGCAACCCUUGUCUUAUGUUGCCAGCACGUAAUGGUGGGGACUCGUAAGAGACUGCCGGGGUCAACUCGGAGGAAGGUGGGGACGACGUCAAGUCAUCAUGCCCCUUAUGUCCAGGGCUUCACACAUGCUACAAUGGCCGGUACAGAGGGCUGCGAUACCGUGAGGUGGAGCGAAUCCCUUAAAGCCGGUCUCAGUUCGGAUCGGGGUCUGCAACUCGACCCCGUGAAGUCGGAGUCGCUAGUAAUCGCAGAUCAGCAACGCUGCGGUGAAUACGUUCCCGGGCCUUGUACACACCGCCCGUCACGUCAUGAAAGUCGGUAACACCCGAAGCCGGUGGCCUAACCCCUCGUGGGAGGGAGCCGUCGAAGGUGGGAUCGGCGAUUGGGACGAAGUCUAAACAA
rnacentral:rRNA from 1 species